rnacentral:rRNA from 1 species
UGGGGAAUUUUGCACAAUGGGCGCAAGCCUGAUGCAGCGACGCCGCGUGAGGGAUGAAGGCCUUCGGGUUGUAAACCUUUUUCGCUCAUGGUCAAGCCGCAGCUUUGGGGUGUGGUGAGGGUAGUGGGUAAAGAAGCGCCGGCUAACUACGUGCCAGCAGCCGCGGUAAUACGUAGGGCGCGAGCGUUGUCCGGAAUUAUUUGGCGUAAAGGGUUCGCAGGCGGAAUAACAAGUCAGAUGUGAAAGGCAUGGGCUCAACCCAUGUAAGCAUUUGAAACUGGAAUUCUUGAGAAGUGGAGAGGUAAGUGGAAUUCCUAAUGUAGCGGUGAAAUGCGUAGAUAUUAGGAGGAAUACCUGUGGCGAAGGCGACUUUCUGGCCAUAAACUGACGCUGUGGUACGAAAGCGUGGGUAGCAAACAGG